rnacentral:rRNA from 1 species
GUGCCAGUYGUGGGGAUACGAGCGAAGUSCUAAUACCGAUACGUCUAUGGAUGAAGGGGACCGUAAGGCCUCGCGCGAUUKGAGCCGCCSAUGUMAGAUUAGGUAGUUGGUGGGGUAAAGGCUCACCAAGCCGACGAUCUGUAGCUGGUCUGAGAGGACGACCAGCCACACUGGGACUGAGACACGGCCCAGACUCCUACGGGAGGCAGCAGUUGGGAAUUUUGGACAAUGGGCGCAAGCUGAUCCAGCAAUGCCGCGUGCAGGRAGAAGGCCUUCGGGUUGUAAACUGCUUUUGUACGGAACGAAACGGUCCUGGUUAAUACCCGGGGCUAAUKGACGGUACCGUAAGAAUAAGCACCGGYUAACUACGUSCCAACAGCCGCGGUAAUACGUAGGGUGCSAGCGUUAAU